UACGUAGGGUGCAAGCGUUGUCCGGAAUUAUUGGGCGUAAAGAGCUCGUAGGCGGUCUGUCGCGUCUGCUGUGAAAACUCGGGGCUUAACCCCGGGCCUGCAGUGGGUACGGGCAGACUAGAGUGCGGUAGGGGAGACUGGAAUUCCUGGUGUAGCGGUGGAAUGCGCAGAUAUCAGGAGGAACACCAAUAGCGAAGGCAGCUCGCUGGGACGGUACUGACGCUGAGGCGCGAAAGCGUGGGGAGCGAACAGG
rnacentral:rRNA from 1 species